rnacentral:rRNA from 1 species
AAACUAACAAGGAUUCCCCUAGUAACUGCGAGUGAAGCGGGAAAAGCUCAAAUUUAAAAUCUGGCGGUCUUCGGCCGUCCGAGUUGUAGUCUGGAGAAGUGCUUUCCGCGCUGGACCGUGUAUAAGUCUCUUGGAACAGAGCGUCAUAGAGGGUGAGAAUCCCGUCUUUGACACGGACUACCAGUGCUUUGUGAUGCGCUCUCAAAGAGUCGAGUUGUUUGGGAAUGCAGCUCAAAAUGGGUGGUGAAUUCCAUCUAAAGCUAAAUAUUGGCGAGAGACCGAUAGCGAACAAGUACCGUGAGGGAAAGAUGAAAAGCACUUUGGAAAGAGAGUUAAACAGUACGUGAAAUUGCUGAAAGGGAAACGCUUGAAGUCAGUCGCGUUGUCCGGAACUCAGCCUUGCUUUCGCUUGGUGCACUUUCCGGAUGACGGGUCAGCAUCGAUUUUGACCGUCGGAAAAGGGCUGGAGUAAUGUGGCACCUCCGGGUGUGUUAUAGACUCUGGUCGCAUACGGCGGUUGGGAUCGAGGAACGCAGCGCGCCGCAAGGCAGGGGUUCGCCCACUUUCGCGCUUAGGAUGCUGGCAUAAUGGCUUUAAACGACCCGUCUUGAAACACGGACCAAGGAGUCUAACAUACCUGCGAGUGUUUGGGUGGAAAACCCGAGCGCGUAAUGAAAGUGAAAGUUGAGACCUCUGUCGUGGRGRGCAUCGACGCCCGGACCUGACGUUCUCUGAAGGAUCCGCGGUAGAGCAUGUAUGUUGGGACCCGAAAGAUGGUGAACUAUGCCUGAAUAGGGUGAAGCCAGAGGAAACUCUGGUGGAGGCUCGUAGCGAUUCUGACGUGCAAAUCGAUCGUCAAAUUUGGGUAUAGGGGCGAAAGACUAAUCGAACCA